AUCAAACUCAGGACCUUGUGCUUGCAAGGCAGGCAUGACGCCACUGAGCUAAAUCCUCAGCCAUAUUGCUCUUUUUAUUUUUUUACACUCUCACAUCAUUUCUUCUUUCAAAGCCCUAGCAAAUCUUUCCACCAAAGAACAGAGGACCAUCUCAUCAGGAAAUCGGGCCACAGAUGAGGAAUGAGGAACAUUGGCUGUGUCACCUUCUUAGCAUCUGCCCCAGGUUCGGAGAACUCCACUUCCUCGGGCUGCGAAAUAGAAAAGUGUUGUUACAAAGCAUCGUAGGAUCACAGUGCUGGAAGGUUCUACAGGUCUCAGACUGAUGCGCAUACUUCCUGAUGAAGGUAUGAAAACCCAGAGAGUGAUAUCACAGAGCUGGAUGAAGAAUCAGGAUGCUUUGACUAUCUGGCUGAUAUUCUGUGCAUCAUGUCAGACUCCUGGAGGAACAGGGCAAAGACUAGCAGAGGAAAACAUCAGACAAACAGGACAUUCUACAAAGUACCUGACCAAUAUUCUUCAAAAUUGUAGAGGUCAAAAAAGAAAAGGAAAACUGAAGAACUGUCACAGAGGGGACUAACGUGUUACGACAACUCAGUGCACCAUGGAACCCUGCCUAGAUUCUGGAAAAGGACAUUAGUGGAGAAAUUAGGGAACUCUACAUAAAGUCCAAGUUUAGCUAAUAGUGAUAUACCAAUGUUACUAUGGCAGUUAGAUAUCUUAUUGUAAGAGGCCAUCUUAAUGUAAGAUGAAAACUGUGGGAAACUGAAACUGGAAUUCUGUCCUGCC
rnacentral:lncRNA from 1 species